AGCGCCCGAAGGGCGGCGGCCCCGUGAGGGAGGGCGGCUCACCCGGACCCCGGGAGGGAGGGCCGCUCACCGAGCCCCGUGACGGAGGGCGGUUCACCCGGACCCCGGGAGGGAGGGCCGCUCACCGAGCCCCGUGACGGAGGGCGGUUCACCCGGACCCCGUGAGGGAGGGCCGCUCACCGAGCCCCGUGACGGAGGGAGGUUCACCCGGACCCCGGGAGGGAGGGCCGCUCACCGAGCCCCGUGACGGAGGGCGGUUCACCCGGACCCCGGGAGGGAGGGCCGCUCACCGAGCCCCGUGACGGAGGGAGGUUCACCCGGACCCCGGGAGGGAGGGCCGCUCACCGAGCCCCGUGACGGAGGGCGGUUCACCCGGACCCCGGGAGGGAGGGCCGCUCACCGAGCCCCGUGACGGAGGGCGGUUCACCCGGACCCCGGGAGGGAGGGCCGCUCACCGAGCCCCGUGACGGAGGGCGGUUCACCCGGACCCCGGGAGGGAGGGCCGCUCACCGAGCCCCGUGACGGAGGGCGGUUCACCCGGACCCCGUGAGGGAGGGCCGCUCACCGAGCCCCGUGACGGAGGGAGGUUCACCCGGACCCCGGGAGGGAGGGCCGCUCACCGAGCCCCGUGACGGAGGGCGGUUCACCCGGACCCCGGGAGGGAGGGCCGCUCACCGCCGCCGUCCCGCGGGGCGGGGCGGGACGAGGGGCGUGCCGCCUACUGGCCGCGACAUUCGAAAGUCGCUUGGUGGGCAGGGCUUCCUCCUAGUCCUCCUCUUCUUCCUCUUCGUCCCCAUCUUCUUUCUGCCCCUCCGGGGGUCCGCGUGGGGCUUUUCCGGGCCGCGGCGCCGCUUCUCGGGGCAAGUGCGAGCCUUGGCCGGUAAGAGCUUGUGGAAGGGAAAUACGGGUGCUGCCCCUGCUCCGUGUCGCUCUCUUCAGUGAUGGCAGCGUGGGAGGCCGCCGAAAUGUCCUUCUUCAGUCGGAGCGACGUGAGAGAGCGGAUGCGGGAAAAGAAAAAGGGUCCCUUGAGGACUGCGAAGUUGAAUGCCUCGCUUGCAUCAAAAAUCAAGACGAAGAUCAUCAACAACUCCUCCACGAUGAAAGUCUCCCUAAAGCAGAACAAUAAAGCAUUGGCUCUAGCCCUCAACGCAGAGAAAGCCAAUGCACAGCGGCUCACCCAUGAGAAGACCACCUUACAGAAGGAGGUGGAGCAGUGCCACUUCCAGAACGCAGUGCUGCGGCACAGGCUCUCCUUCCUGAAUAAUAUGUUGAAAAAAAUGGACAAUCUUAUGGCUGCAGUUAAGAUGGCCGAGCUGUCUGAGUUCCAUACAAAUUCUCCAUCCUUGUCCAGUGGCCAGAAGAGCAGCAUGACUGAAGAUAGCUGGACCGAUGAUAUUGCAGGUGGUCAGCUUCUGAGGGUUACACAGAUGCCAAUGAGAGUGCCCAUUUCCAAGCUACCUGAUGCAGAGCAGCAAGCUUGCAGCUCCACAGCAGUACAAACAUCCUCAGGAGAACUUCAGAGACCUGCUUCUAAUGGAGGGGAACUUCAGAGACCUGCUUCUAACGAGCCCCUAAAAAUUGUGCCUGUUGCCUCUAAAGAUACUUUGCCACCACAGCACGAUGAGAAGCUUCGGUUCCACCAAGAAGAGAAUGGCAAGAAGGUGACUGAAGCAAUGGCAACAGAAGAGGCUUUUCAUGACUCUCGCAUCUUUGGAGAGGUCUUGUGCACCACUGAACAAAACUCCAACAAUUUGCCAGCACUUGCCUUGGAAAGUCAUAAUCUUUCAUAUGAGGCUGAUGAGAUGGUAAAACAUUUCUUUGAUCGUCUUUCACAAGGGCACGUUACUCUGAGGAGAAAACGUUCCACCCCGUUUGCUACAAGCACUCCAUCUUCUGCUCUGGAUAUCUUACCACAUGUCAGUUCCACUCUGGCAGCUCGGGGUAGUCCUGCACAGGAGAACAGCAGCUCCAGCAAGAACAGCACACAGCAACAGCUGAGAUCUCCCAGCCCCCUGGCUUCACCUGCUCAAACUGCUGUUGUUUCUCAUAAAAACUCUGUGGGUAAAGAGACUUUUUCUGAGCAGCCACAGACAAAAGAAAUGGGGUGUGGCGUUGAAACGGACCCCAGCUAUAGCCAAGCCCCUGAGAUGGUUCCUGUAAAGGUUAAAAGCAAAGGUAACUGUAAAACCAGCGAGAAAAAGACUGUUAAGAAAGCCAGAACAGGAAAAAAGAAAACAACUGCAGUUAAAAACAAUGCAGAAAAUAGUUCUGAUAGAUCUCAAGGUGAAGAAAAUACAAAGAAGCUUCCUCAGCCAGAAGUUGCAACAAGUUCUAGUGAAAUUGAAGUCGGUGAGAUGGGGCAGAAGGUGUGUGAGGGGGCUUCUGACAGGAAGACUAGAGACUGUGGUGUGGAGCACCAUUCCCACUCUCCUGAUGGAGUCAAAGACUUUGGAAGUACAUAUGAGGUGAAUCCAGCACAGCUGCAGAGUCUUGAAAGUGUUGACUUAAUGCAACAGGUUAAGAAGGGACCUAUCUUUGAGAUGCAAAGUAUGGAGAGCUUGCUAAAACCCCCAGUUCAGACCUUCUCAAGUCAUGAAGUUCCCUCGAGUGAUUCCAGUCUACAAAAUUCUACAAAAAUCUCAAGUGUGAGCAGAAAGAGCAUCAAACAGAAAAUCAAGAGAAAAACUAGAGUAAUUUGGCAAAGAGAUGAUUCUGAUGAGGAAUAUCUGCCAAAUGGUGUGAUAAUACAAGAGGCCAAAGCUGAAGAACAGCCUAAAAAAAGCCGAAGAAGCAGGAAGAAUACUGUCAGGGAAAGCAAUUGUGAUCAGAGAAAUGAAGUUAAUGUUUUUAGCUCCUGGAUAGAUGUUCAAGGGGCAGCUAAUGAGAGUACAAAGGAUUUGCCAGGUAAUCUUAAACAGCGCAGGGAAACGUAUAUUGUCCAUCCUUUGGAUCUUGCAGGGAACUUGGGUUGUUUCCAGACAAAAUUUGAAGGGGGUGAAAAUGUUCCUCCCCCGUCUGCUCCUGGGAACAAAGCGAGCAAAAUCCCCAGAGCUGCUAAGAGCAAUCAAAAGAGCUAUAAAAAUCAGACAGGGAGCCUUAAAAAAAAAGGGCAAGGUGAAGCUGACAACAACAUGAAUGCUUUGAAAAAAGAAGCCUCUUGCAAACCCAGGCCUCGGAGGAAGAGGAACAGCUCUCGACCUCCAGAGACUGAUUCUCUGGCCAGAAAAAGUGAUGGUGCCAAGGUUCCCGUUGGAAGUUCCACGGAACUUGCAUCCAAACAAACUGUCCUGUUGGGGAAGUUUUCCUGCAUUACACAUCUGUUGUCUGAGCCAGAUGCUUUCCUGGAUGAGCAGCUACCAGACAUAUCACUUGCAGAUAGCCUUACAGACUCUUCACACAUUCUUGAAUCCUCCCAUGUGAGCAGUUCUGCAGUUCUGCCUGCCGGCUCCAGAGGUACAGAAAUACCAGUUUCCAAGAGCUCAAGUACAGUGGGCAACAGAAUGCAAGUAAAAUCCCAUGCUUGGUUGAAAAAGUCAGUGGUAUUUAAAGAAGAGACUGAAGAGGACACACCUGGGGAAAGGAACCAAGUCCAGUCAAGUUCUUGUAGCUCAUCUUCACAGAAACCUGAUAUCAGGCCACUACAGGAUUUGAACAAUACCAGGGGUCUGCCUCCCUCUGGCUCGGAGGAAACACCAGGGUGCUCAUCCAGGCGGAAACAGAAGCCAGUCUGCUACAAAGAGCCAUCACUCACGAGGAAACUGAGGCAGGGUGACCCAUUUACAGACUCCAAGUUCCUCCACUCUCCUCUCUACAAAAGAAAAAAGAAGCCUGUCACUGCCAAGGGAAUGACCAAGAAGAUGAAAGAGAACGAAGAAUGGCUUCCUGAAGGGUGUCUCAGUGGCGAGGCAGGCAAGUUCAUAACAACAGAAAGGAGUCAGGAUUAGAAUAGCGAUUGAAAGGCAGUCCCCAAGCUCCUAGAAACUCGUGCGUUUAGCUGCAAGGCUCCAGCUUUGAAUGCAGAGGCACAAAGAGGCAAAGGUGGACGUGGCUGACCAGGCAGCUGAACUAUUCCAGCUAAGGCAACCCCAGGACCAGUUUGACAAAUCGAGCCUUGUACUGUGGAUUUCUUUUGUUUUCAGAUCUUUGGGACUGAUGAGGUGGGGAAAGUGGUUGAUACAAAUUGAUGAAUGUCUGUUUUAAUGAUGGGCUUGGCCCUUAUGUGCUGUAUGAAUAGCCCCUAGCUAUCUUCUGCUUCCUUCCUGUUCUCUGUCUGCCAUGUAAAGCUCCUUGCAGCGGAUGAGCCCUAUACCAGCCAACAUUAAGGAAUACUUGAAACACAGGGUGCUUAGGACAAAACCUAAGAAUGCCUUGUCUCAAACAUUCUGAGUAUUGCUACAGAAAAGGUGAUCAGAGGAGAAGGUCUCGUGGGACAGAGCUGUUUAAAAACAUCUCCCCUUUUCCUAUGACUCUUUGCCCUUGUUAUAAAGUACCACUUUCAGCCUUUUUGUAGCCCCUUGAGGUACUGGAAGGUGUGAUAAGGUCUCUCUAGCGCCUCGUUUUCCAGGCUGAAACCUCAGUUCCCUCAGCCUGUGUUCAUAAGAGAGCUAUUUCAGCCCUCUGAUCAUCUCUGUGUCCUCCCUCUGGCUUUGCUCCAAUAGGUCCAUAUAUCCCUCUUAAGCUGGAAAUCACAGAGCUGGACAACAGUACUCCAGAUGGGGUCAGUUGUGUUUCAGGAAAUCCUCUUCCAUUGCAGACUGAGCACCCACUGGCUUCAAGCACUUGUUUUUUUUGGGUGGGCGGGGGUCUACUGGUGUAACUUUGAAAGCUAUUGAUUCUGAAUGUUUGAGAGAGUGGUGAGGAAAAGAAGGGAUCAAGCUGGUAGUGAAAGGGAAGGAAAUGUGCCCGUUUGGAAGCAGGCAGAGUGUUUCCUCUUUGUGGCAGAGGGAAGAGAGGGCUGCUCUUUUCUUCUGACCAUACUUACUGCUUCUCCGUAGCACCUCAGCAACAUCCAUCAAUUCAUAAUCAUAGGCUGGGUCUUGCUGUACUCGCUGUACUCAGAGGACUCCAGAAGAUGGAAACUUCAUUAGUAGAGGGAGAAUAGUGUCAUCUGCAGUCAGGAUAUUUGCUUUGCACCAUCAGCUCAAAGCUCAGCAGUUCUGUGACACAUGGAUAGGAAGGUGGUUCAACUUUACAGCAGCAGGCAGCAGUUUGGAGCAGGAAGUCUCAGUCAAAGCCAGAAAUGGAUGUGCUCACACCUUAAAUGCUUUGAAUCUUCAGAACUAACUCCAGCAGACAAGGACUGCUUUGCCUAACUCAGAGAAAACAGCCUGAGUUCUGGCAACAUGUGAGUAACUGCUCCCAUUAAACUCCAGCAACCUCAAGAUUCCUCCUGAGCCUUGCAAUGUCUGCAACCAGCACAGCAAUAGGGAGAACCAAAACCUCUGGGACUGCAUCUGUUAAAACAUUUACAGCCUACAAAGUCAGGAGCAUCCUGACUGUGAAAUCCUCUUUCCACCUUACAGAGCAAGUGUUCAUUCUCAUUUCUGUUGAGCAAAUAAAAAGACGGCUUCAUAAAGAAGUGCAAAAACUGCAAAGGUAUACAGAGAUCAGUAAAACAAACUAAACCCAGAAAGAAUUACACAUGGAUUGUUCUCAAAUAUCUCCCCUUAGGUCAAGCCUUGUUUAAUCAAGCCUUGUUUACAUAGCAAGUUUGUCUCUGAUCAGACAGAAAAACAUGUAUGCUGCUACCAGAGUGGUCAUAUAAGGAGCACAACAGGUGGCCAAUCUAAUCUGGUUGUGUUCUUGAUGUGCUUCUUUGAUCCCAGGAAGAUUUCAAAGAACUUCAAGUACUUGACAAAUAAAUGAAGAAGGCCCAAACUCUCUCCCCCACUCUACCUCAAAGUCAUAUUUUACCAUCAAACGCACCCGACUAAUAAUUCAAGGUUGAAUUAAAUAACAAAUAUCAGUUUUAAUCACUAAUU